rnacentral:rRNA from 1 species
CGCUAUCACUCCUACGGGGAGGCAGCAGUAGGGAAUCUUCCACAAUGGACGAAAGUCUGAUGGAGCAACGCCGCGUGAGUGAAGAAGGGUUUCGGCUCGUAAAACUCUGUUGUUAAAGAAGAACAUAUCUGAGAGUAACUGUUCAGGUAUUGACGGUAUUUAACCAGAAAGCCACGGCUAACUACGCGCCAGCAGCCGCGGUAAUACGUAGGUGGCAAGCGUUGUCCGGAUUUAUUGGGCGUAAAGCGAGCGCAGGCGGUUUUUAAGUUCUGAUGUGAAAGCCUUCGGCUCAACCGAAGAAGUGCAUCGGAAACUGGGAAACUUGAGUGCAGAAGAGGACAGUGGAACUCCAUGUGUAGCGGUGAAAUGCGUAGAUAUAUGGAAGAACACCAGUGGCGAAGGCGGCUGUCUGGUCUGUAACUGACGCUGAGGCUCGAAAGUAUGGGUAGCAAACAGGAUUAGAUACCCUGGUAG